GGGGUGAGUGAGUCUGUGAGAGUAUGUAUGAAGGUGAGAGUGUUUUGUGUGAGGUAUUGUGUGUAGUAUUCUGUGUAGUGUUAUUGUAUAUGGAAUUAUCUGUAUGUGUAUAUUUCUGUGUAUAUGUAUUGAUGAAGACGUGUGUGCGUGUAUCGAUGAUGAGGGUGUAUGAGAAAUGUAUAUUGGGGUAGGGUGUAUUGGGGUAGGGGUAUGGGUUGUUAUUUUUGUUAGGGUGAGGUGUCCCAAUCUUUAAGAAUUUGUCGGAUUUGUUAUUGUGUGGAACAUAUCAUAUGGGUGACGUACGUGGUAAGAUAUGGUAAAAAAUUGUAAAAAAAUAAUUUUAGGGAGGGACAAAAUUACGUGUCUGCAUCAUGCCCCUUUUUGGGUAUAAACACAAAGUAUUUUCUAAUAAAGAAGUAGCCAACGUGAUAGAAUUUUGACUUGAUCAUUAUUUAAAAUGAAGAAAAAAAUAAGGACAGACGCAAUCGAGUCUUUACUUUGGACAUCCUACCCAUCCUAAGUUAUAUAGGAUCAAAUAACAUGAGGUUCAAGCAUUGAAAAAGAAAGGACUAUACCGAGUUGGAGAGUCGAGUGAGGCCUUGUCGAGAUUCCACGACUCUGUUAUUACAACACAAAAAUGGAAAUAAAAGGUAAAAACAUAAAUAAAAUUACAAAAGUCCUAUCUAUGCGGCUUUCCUUGGCUUUUGACUUGUUAUUUCAUCACUCUGUUCUUCAGGCGGGCUCCUAACUUUCAAUUUUAUCACCCUAUUCUUCAGGUGACCUCCUGACAUUCAAUUUCAUCACCAUGUUCUUCAGGCGGGCUCCUAACCGUCAAUUCCAUCACCUUGUUCUUCAGGCGGGUACCUGACUUUCAAUUUCAUCACCUUGUUCUUCAGGCGGCCACUUGACUUUCAAUUUCAUCACCCUAUUCUUCAGGCGGGCUCCUGACUUUCCAUUUCAUCACCUUGUUCUUCAGGAGUGCUCUUGACUUGCCAUUUCAUCACCCUAUGCUUCAGGUGUGCUCCUGACUUGCCAUUUCAUCACCCUGUUCUUCAGGUGUGCUCCUGACUUGCCAUUUCAUCACCCUAUUCUUCAGACGGGCUCCUGAAAUCAACAUCACACUAAAACGAAAAUUAUCCCAUACAACGAUUAUGAUGAAGAAAGAUUCUAUUUAAAUGAAAAUAAAGUCCCAUUUUUCAGGAAGGUGCUGAACAAAAGUAAAGUCUCAUUUUUCAGAAGGGUCCUGAACAUGAAAUCACAUUUUUCACGAGGGUCCAGAACACAAAGUAAUGUCCCAUUUUUCAGAAGGGUCCUGAACAUGAAGUAAAUUCUUAUUUUUUAGGAGAGUUCCAAUCAUAAAGUAAAAUCCCAUUUUUCAGGAGGGACCCAAACAUAAAGUAAAGUUUCAUUUUUCAGGAGGGUCCUAAACAAAAAGUAAUGUUCCAUUUUUCAAGAGGGUCCUGAACAUAUGGUACAUUCCCAUAUUCGAGAAGGCCAGAGAUAACAAAAGCAUUAGAAUUCAACACUUUCUCAAAAUCUUUUACUCUUUUUUUUGCUUUUGAAAAGAUCGCCGAACCCAAGAAGGGCGCCUACGUAUCUCACCCCCAAGAGGGGAGAAUCAGGUGUGCGUACUUCGUGAAGUUUGGCCAUAAAAAGGUCAAUAAAACUCUUUAUUUUUCUUGAAAAUUUAGAAGAAAAGGAAGUAACAAAGUGUCAAAAGAAUUGACAAAAAUCUUUUUGAAUUUUUCAGCUUAAAAAUUCCUAUACAAAAUGAAACCUAUAAUUACCAAAGACAGAUCUUUCUGAGUUUUUCGAUUUUGAAUUUCAUACGAAAAUGAAACUUGAAACUAUUAAAGGAAAAUAUUUUUGUAGUUUUCUUUUAAAAAUAUAUAUGACACCUACUCUAAAUAAAAAGUGAAGAAAAUUUUUUUGAAUUUUUUUUAAAUAAGAUCACCGAAUUCUACAAGGAUUGCCUACGUAUCUCACUCCCAAGCGAGGAGAAUCAGGUGUGUAUAGUUCGUCCAGAUUGGACAAUUAAACAAUAACGGACAAAACCACAACUUGAGAGACACGACCUAGACAGACGAUGAAAAACAUCAAUAAAUUUUUUUUGGAGUUUUCAAUUUGAUACUUCACACCAAAAUACACCAACAACUGUGAAAAAAGAAUCUAUUUUGGUAUUUUCAUUAUAUGAAAUGUACAAAACUUCUACCAUCUUUUUUUGUGAAUAAUUCUUUUAUAAAAAGCUCUUAUUACAAAAAAUGAAAUUUUCAAAUUAUAAAAGCUUGCAAAAAAAAACAAAAGAAAAAUCUUUUUGGCGUUUUUGUUUUUGAAAAAUGAGUGCAAAAGAUAAAAAUCUUUUUGAAACUUUGGAUUAUGAAAAAUAGGAAAAAUUACCCAGAUUAGCCAUUAUUGGGCUUUUAUUACCACUUAAAACCUAAUUUUCAAUUAAUUACAAUUCAUAGUCCCCUCUUACCUAUUAAUUAUUUCUAAUUACAAUUCAUAGUCUUUCUCAUAUAUUUUCUCUCUUUUUCUAUUUUCUAUUAUUCUCUUUUUUUUUUUUACUUUUUCAAUUUUUUUUCUUCAGUUUUUCUUUUCGUUUUUCGUUGCUUUCUCUUUAUUUUUUUAUUUUUUCACUUUUCUCUUUUUAUUUUUUAUGCAUUUUUUUCUUUCUCUUUUUUUCUCUGUUCAUUUUUCUCCUUUUUUUUUUCUUCUUCUUUUUUUGUAUUUUUUCUCCUUCACUUUUUUAUUUUUAUUUUUUCUCCUUUUUUGUAUUCUUUUCUUAUUUUCUAUUACUCUCCUUUUUUUUGUAUUUUGUCCUCUUCUUUUUCUCUCAUUUUUUCUCUUUUUUUUUCUUUUUUUUCUUUUCAAUUUCUCCUUUUCAUUUGUGUGAACUAACAAACACAAAUACAAGUGCGAACUAUAAAAUACAAAUACAAAUGCGAACUAUAACAUAUAAAUACAAGUGUGAACUAUAAAAUACAAAUACAAAUGCGAUCUAUAACAUAUAAAUACAAGUGUGAAUUAUCCUUUGUAUUUUUUAAUUAUUGAAAAGGAACGAUUGAUUUUCUUUCCACGAAUACAUGUUUGUAUUUAUUGAUACGAAUUGUAUCUAUUGAUACAAAUAAAUACAACUCAAAUUUUUAUAAAAAUACAAUAUAUACAAAUACAUAUUGUAUUUGUAUUUGUAAAAUCAUUUAUUUCAUUUAUUUGUCAUUAUAUUUGUAUCAAGUGCUAUUUGUUUAUUUACAAAUAUGAAUGAUAAUUUUGAUAUACAAAUACAAAAUGGUACAUUUGUAUCAAAUGAUACAUUACAUAUUUAUAUAUUUUAGAAUCAAGAAAAUACAAUUAAUGCACUUACUUGUUUGUAUACAAAUNNNNNNNNNNNNNNNNNNNNNNNNNCAAAUAUAAUCUAAAUAUACAAACACAAUAAAAGCAUAAUAUAAAUAUAAUCCAAUAUAAUAUGCAAUCAAUUAUAAAAUACAAAUACAAAAUAGUUCUUUAAAAUACAAGUGUAAAUUAUAUAAAAUAUAAAUGAUGGAGCAAACUAACAAAUACAAAUACAAGUGCGAACUAUUAAAUAUAAAUACAAAUGUGAAGUGUAAAAUAUAAAUACAAGUCCAAACUUUAAAAUACAAAUACAAAUAUAAUUGUAUCAACAAAAUACAAAAAUAUAAAUGACGAUGUGACUAAAAAUACGAUAAACAAUUGUGGUAUCUACGUUAUCAUCCAUGACUUGUGCUCGAAUAGUCAUAUUAUUUGAAAAUACAAAAAAUAUAAAAUAGAACAAAAAAAUAAUAAAGAAAAUAAGUACAAAAAAGAAAAUAAAAAAAAUCAAAGAAGAAAAGAAAAGAAGAAAGAGAAAUAGAACUUAGAGAUUAAUGAGAGAAAAAAACAAAAAUACAAAAAAGAAAAAAAUAAAAGUAGGAAAAACUAGAAAAAAAAAAGAAGAAAAAAUGGGAAAAACUCAAAAAAUAUAAAAAUAUAAAAAAAGAUAAUGGUAGUGAUAAGAAAGAAAAUAUUCAGUUCAACGAGAUAAGCGUGAUUGAGAUUUUUUUCUUUUUAUCAUUUUUUACGCGACUAAAUAGGGAUUGUAUUCAUAUUUUAUAUGAAUACAUACUAUUUGUAAAACCGAAUAUAUCAGGCAUAAAUCGAAUACAUCGGUUAUAAAUAGUAAUUAUGUAAAAUUUGGCUAUAAAAGGUUGAUUUUAUAGCAAAAUGCUGCUAAUUUUGAAAGAUCCCCAAAAUAAAAGCCAUAAAAACUCUGAACGACUACGAAACUUUUUUUUGACUCACUUUUUUUUUUUACAACAUGUCCUUGCCUGCACACUUUUCUUUAAUUCUAACACAUGCUUGUCCCCAAAUUAGUCCAUCAAAUGACCCUGUUACCCUCACAGAUGCAACAAUUAUCACGUAGGAAUGAAUUAGGGUGAGUUUUCUAAAAAGGAUCAAGUGGGUCCUGCUAGGCCUCCAUAUGAUGCAGAUAAGCAUGACCUACAGGUUGGUCUAGGCUGGGGUCCACUAACAAAGUUGUUCGGAGAAACAUAUGAUCGAUAAUAGUUGCAAGAGCUUUCCACCCACUUCAUAUGUCCGGCGUCUCUCCCUCUUAAAAUAAAGAUAACUCAACUAGAGUUCGUGUACACAACGUGUACUCUGAAACUUGUUGCGAAAGAAAUGACUCGAGUUAUGCAAAUGAUGACAGAUAUAAAGCACUAAUACAUAAAGAAAGACUGUAAACAAAGAGCACGUAGACACAAUGAUAAAACAAUAACACAAAUAAUAACAUAGACAAAAUGUUUAUACAUCUAUAGUGUCAAACUAAGCCUAUACAACUCAUAAAUAAACUCAAAUUCUAAAAAAUCCUCAGCAGAGUUGCCAGAGUUGUCACACCCCUUUUUUUAUCAAAAAGAUUAUUAUUUUAAGAUUGAAAAAGUUUUUAUUAUUAUGUGACAAAAGAUAAAAUUUGUUUUGAAAAGAAUUCUUUUUCAUUUGAACUCAGAAUCGCCACUUGGUAUAAAUCUGGUGUGCCAAGUCACCUUUGAAAAUCCCUUUUCAAAAUAAUUUUGACUCUUUUAAACCUAGUCCACGAACAGAGUUUCCGGUUAAGAAAUUUUGUUAACCGAGGUAAAGAUGUUAGGCACCCCUUAAUUCCGUGGUUCGACCACGAUCGUUUUAUAGAAUAUAUCGGCUAGUAGACAUUAUGAAGUGAAUAAACUACAUAAAACACACAAAUCAAACAAAUAAAAAAUCAAACGUUAAUGUCCAGUCCAAUUUAUUACAAACCGAAAUGAAAAUGCUGAAAUUAAAAUCUAAACUAUUCUAUCUAUCCUACUCUAUAUUUUACCCAAUACCUCGGGCCUUGAUCAUGAUUGAUCUUUCGAGUAUAAAAUAUCACGGGAAAUUUUCUGAUAACAAAUACAAUUUUUCUCAGGACAUUCCCCGAUUAAAUGUGUAUAAUUGAGUCAAAUGUGAUAUGACAAAUCAUUCAACAAAUAUUUCAAAUAUUCAACAAUUCACAAUUCUUACUUUUGCCUACCCAACCUAAAAUUUUCCUAUUAAUUCUCGGUCUAAGAUAUGAUAGUAUCGUAUUUGUCAAAAUUACAUCCGUUUCAAAUCAAACAACAACCAAUAGAUCAAAUUAACCAACGUUCAACUUCAUCAAUUUUGAUUCCCACCCAAUUAUAUUUUAAUAUAAACCCAAACUCAUAUUGUCAUCACAUUCAUACCAUUGAGAUCAAUUAUUCAAAUACAAACAACAUCAAAUAUCAACUAAAUCAGCCAAACAAAUAGAACAAUGAUAUCGAAUCACAUCUACAAUCAUACCAAAAUUAAAAUAAAGAGAGUGAUGAGAGAAUCAUCUACAAUCACACCAAAAUUAAAAUAAAGAGAGUGAUAAGAGAAUUGGACCUUAACUGAGCUUUUUAAUAUGCCAAAUUUCAUGAUAAGAGGACGGAACCACGUCUUUAAAACUCGAAUCGAACCUCAAUACAGACCCCAUCUCCGGUAUGCAUCCCUUCUUUCAUUUUUUGCUGACCCAAAAUAGAAAUCGCGAAAAAAUAGACAACCCCGCACCCAAUUUUGUGCAAACUGACCUUGUUUCACUCAUUUUUUAUGGAUCUCAUUGGAAUCAGGCA
rnacentral:lncRNA from 1 species